AAUAGAUACCCAGGUAGUCCACGCCGUAAACGUUGGAUACUAGGUGUGGCGGUCUUACCAACGACUGCCGUGCCGAAGCUAACGCAUUAAGUAUCCCGCCUGGGGAGUACGGCCGCAAGGCUAAAACUCAAAGGAAUUGACGGGUCCCCGCACAAGCGGCGGAGCAUGCGGCUUAAUUCGAUGCAACCCGAAGAACCUUACCUGGGUUUGACAUCACGGGAAAAGCUGUAGAAAUACAGUGUCCGUAAGGGCCCGUGACAGGUGGUGCAUGGCUGUCGUCAGCUCGUGUCGUGAGAUGUUGGGUUAAGUCCCGCAACGAGCGCAACCCUUGUCCUAUGUUGCCAGCAGUUCGGCUGGGGACUCGUAGGAGACUGCCGGGGUAUAACUCGGAGGAAGGUGAGGACGACGUCAAGUCAUCAUGCCCCGUUAUAUCCAGGGCUGCACGCAUGCUACAAUGGCCGGUACAACGGGUCAGCGACCCCGGCGAGGGUUGAGCGAAUCCGUAUAAACGCCGGUUCCCAGUUCGGAUUGAAGUCUGCAACUCGACUUC
rnacentral:rRNA from 1 species